GUGGGGAAUAUUGGACAAUGGGCGAAAGCCUGAUCCAGCCAUGCCGCGUGUGUGAAGAAGGUCUUCGGAUUGUAAAGCACUUUAAGUUGGGAGGAAGGGCAGUAAGUUAAUACCUUGCUGUUUUGACGUUACCGACAGAAUAAGCACCGGCUAACUUCGUGCCAGCAGCCGCGGUAAUACGAAGGGUGCAAGCGGUAAUCGGAAUUACUGGGCGUAAAGCGCGCGUAGGUGGUUUUGUAAGUUGGAGGUGAAAUCCCCGGGCUCAACCUGGGAACUGCCUCCAAAACUGCAUGACUAGAGUACGGUAGAGGGUAGUGGAAUUUCCUGUGUAGCGGUGAAAUGCGUAGAUAUAGGAAGGAACACCAGUGGCGAAGGCGACUACCUGGACUGAUACUGACACUGAGGUGCGAAAGCGUGGGGAGCAAACAGGAUUAGAAACCCUGGUAGUCC
rnacentral:rRNA from 1 species